CUCUAUCUGUAAAUUAUAGGGUGGUCUAGACCUGCUCUAUCUGUAAACUAUAGAGCGGUCUAGACCUGCUCUAUCUGUAAAUUAUAGAGCGGUCUAAACCUACUCUAUCUGUAAAUUAUAGAGUGGUCUAAACCUGUUCUGUCUGUAAAUUAUAGAGCGGUCUAGACCUGCUCUAUCUGUAAAUUAUAGAGCGGUCUAGACCUACUCUAUCUGUAAAUUAUAGAGCGGUCUAAACCUACUCUAUCUCUAAAUGACAGAGUGUGGUCUAGACCUGUUCUAACUGUAAAUUACAGAGUGGUGUAGACCUGCUCUAUCUGUAAAUUAUAGAGCGGUCUAGACCUACUCUAUCUGUAAAUUAUAGAGUGUGGUCUAGACCUGCUCUAUCUGUAAAUCAUAGAGCGGUCUAGACCUACUCUAUCUGUAAAUUAU